rnacentral:tRNA from 1 species
GCGCCCGUAGCUCAAUUGGAUAGAGCGCCUGGCUUCGAACCAGGAGGUAGCGGGUUCAAAUCCUGCCGGGCGCG